rnacentral:rRNA from 1 species
GGGCCCGCACAAGCAGUGGAGCAUGUGGUUUAAUUCGAAGCAACGCGAAGAACCUUACCAAGGUUUGACAUCCUACUAAUCUCUUAGAGAUAAGAGAGUGCCUGCUUGCAGGAAAGUAGAGACAGGUGGUGCAUGGUUGUCGUCAGCUCGUGUCGUGAGAUGUUGGGUUAAGUCCCGCAACGAGCGCAACCCCUAUUGCCAGUUACCAGCAUUUAAGGUGGGAACACUGGCGAAACUGCCGUGGAUGACACGGAGGAAGGUGGGGAUGACGUCAAAUCAUCAUGCCCCUUAUAUCUUGGGCAACACACGUGCUACAAUGGGAGAAACAAAGGGAAGCGAGACAGCGAUGUGGAGCGAAACUCAAAAAAUCUCUCUCAGUUCGGAUUGCAGGCUGCAACUCGCCUGCAUGAAGCUGGAAUUGCUAGUAAUCGCAGAUCAGAAUGCUGCGGUGAAUACGUUCCCGGGCCUU